rnacentral:rRNA from 1 species
CCUACGGGAGGCAGCAGUGGGGAAUAUUGCACAAUGGGCGAAAGCCUGAUGCAGCAACGCCGCGUGAAGGAAGACGGUUUUCGGAUUGUAAACUUCUGUUCUUAGUGAAGAAUAAUGACGGUAACUAAGGAGCAAGCCACGGCUAACUACGUGCCAGCAGCCGCGGUAAUACGUAGGUGGCAAGCGUUUUCCGGAAUUACUGGGGGGAAAGGGAGCGUAGGCGGGAAGCCAAGGGAGCGGUGAAAACGACGGGCUUAAACUGUAUACUGCAGGGGAAACUGGCUUUCUUGAGUGAAGUAGAGGUUGGCGGAAGUCGGAGGGUAGCGGUGAAAUGCGUAGAUAUUCGGAGGAACACCGGUGGCGAAGGCGGCCAACUGGGCUUGAACUGACGCGGAGGCUCGAAAGUGUGGGGAGCAAACAGGAUUAGAUACCCGAGUAGUC